rnacentral:misc_RNA from 1 species
GAAGAAACCAUAUUGGUGCAUUUCUAACAGCAGUCAUUGUAGUUUCACUUUCACACAAACAUUUGAUUCUAACAGGAACAAAAUAGAAAAGAAAUCCAGAAAACCUAUGUAGAUAGAAUCUGGUAUUUAUAGCUACAAAAAGACUUGAGAAAUGGGAACUUAAGAAACGUGACGAAGAGGUGAUUGACAUCUGAAAGUACCAGAGUUCCCCUCUCAGGCCGCUGUUGUCAUUUCCAAUUCUCGAUUAAGUUACUCGAAUCUGAAUAUUGUAACCAAAGAUCCUGAGAAAUUACUAAACGUCCUGAAGCAACUCAUCAUCGUUGCAGGUGUUGAGUUCAUCCAAAACAAGAAGUAUGUUGUACUGAAGCCUAAGUGAGAGAUUUAGAUUAGUUAGUUUUCUUCUCGUCUUCUUUAAGUGCGGGAGUAUCUGAACUACUGGCAGCUUGAUCCACAUCUUCCGCAGCAAAACCAAACUCAUUCACCCGUUUCUUAUCUACUGGAUAAACCCAUCUCUGAUAUAGGUAUAUCAAAAAUAUAAGAUCAUCACGGAACACAGACAGGCGAUGAAGCAUUGGCAUUUUUAUCACAAAUGCAAACAAAUCAUCAAUGAUGGUAUUAAGAAAUUUGUAGGUCAUUUGCCUCCAAGGUAAAUGAGCAACAGACUUCAGUUUAUAAUUGAUGAACAACUGUGGACACAUCAUAACAAAACCAAACAUAUAAACACAGCUUGUCAGGGAUGAGAGGAUCCAUGAAUACCAACUCUUGUGGCGGUCAUACAUUAGAGAGUAUAUGGCAAAGCACACGGCAAGGAAGAACAGCACAUAAGACAAAUAUUUCAUGGCAAGAUCAUCAUAUUCUUUAGUCUUAUUUCCAGCAUAUGAUUCCCGAUCUCGGAACCUCAACAUGGGUAUUCUACCAGAUCUGUCAAUCUCAAUGUGCAUGGCCUUCCCUAUUUUCCAGAACUCAAU